rnacentral:pre_miRNA from 1 species
AAACCUACAUACAGCCGCUUACUGUUUAUUCAUAAAAAAAAUUCAGAAAUUGGGAAAGGGAUGAAGAUUUUUGGGAAGCUUUUGGCGUGAGCGGUGGGGAAAGAUAGAUCUAUCAUAUUAGUAUGAUAUGAUAAAUCUUGCCUACACCGCCCAUGCCCAUGGCUUCCAAUGAUUUCUUCCUUUCCAUACAAUUUCUUCAUGUUAUUUUUUUCUUUUUCAAAAAGAGCUGUGAUGAGAUUUAGAGAUAAAAAAAAAAAAAAAAA